rnacentral:rRNA from 1 species
AGAGUUUGAUCAUGGCUCAGAUUGAACGCUGGCGGCAGGCCUAACACAUGCAAGUCGAGCGGAAACGAGUUAUCUGAACCUUCGGGGAACGAUAACGGCGUCGAGCGGCGGACGGGUGAGUAAUGCCUAGGAAAUUGCCUUGAUGUGGGGGAUAACCAUUGGAAACGAUGGCUAAUACCGCAUAAUGCCUACGGGCCAAAGAGGGGGACCUUCGGGCCUCUCGCGUCAAGAUAUGCCUAGGUGGGAUUAGCUAGUUGGUGAGGUAAUGGCUCACCAAGGCGACGAUCCCUAGCUGGUCUGAGAGGAUGAUCAGCCACACUGGAACUGAGACACGGUCCAGACUCCUACGGGAGGCAGCAGUGGGGAAUAUUGCACAAUGGGCGAAAGCCUGAUGCAGCCAUGCCGCGUGUAUGAAGAAGGCCUUCGGGUUGUAAAGUACUUUCAGUUGUGAGGAAGGGGGUGUCGUUAAUAGCGGCAUCUCUUGACGUUAGCAACAGAAGAAGCACCGGCUAACUCCGUGCCAGCAGCCGCGGUAAUACGGAGGGUGCGAGCGUUAAUCGGAAUUACUGGGCGUAAAGCGCAUGCAGGUGGUUCAUUAAGUCAGAUGUGAAAGCCCGGGGCUCAACCUCGGAACUGCAUUUGAAACUGGUGAACUAGAGUACUGUAGAGGGGGGUAGAAUUUCAGGUGUAGCGGUGAAAUG